GCUGGGUGUAGUGGCACAUCCCUGUAAUCCUAGCAGCUUGGGAGGCUGAGGCAGGAGGAUCACUAGUUCAAGGCCAGCCUCAGAAAUAAGGAGGUGCUAAGCAACUCAGUGAGACCCUGUCUCUA
rnacentral:sRNA from 1 species